rnacentral:rRNA from 1 species
GAUGAACGCUGGCGGCGUGCCUAAUACGUGCAAGUCGAGCGAACGGACGAGAAGCUUUCUUCUCUGAUGUUAGCGGCGGACGGGUGAGUAACACGUGGAUAACCUACCUAUAAGACUGGGAUAACUUCGGGAAACCGGAUCUAAUACCGGAUAAUAUUUUGAACCGCAUGGUUCAUAAGUGAAAGACGUUCUUUCUGUCACUUAUUGAUUGUUCCUCGCUGCAUUAGCUAGUUGGUAAGUUAACGGCUUACCAAGGCAACGAUGCAUAGCCGAAAUGAGAGGGGGAACGGAAACACGGGAACAGAGAAACGGAAAAGACAAAGACGGGAGGCAGCAGAAGGGAAUAGUACGCAAUGGGCGAAAGCCUGACGGAGCAACGCCGCGUGAGAGAAGAAGGUCUACGGAUAGUAAAACUCUGUAAGGAGGGAAGAAAAUAAGUGAAAGAAAAGGUGAACAUAGUGACGGUAACGAAACAGAAAGCAACGGCUAACUACGUG